CAGCAGCCGCGGUAAUACGGGGGAUCCAAGCGUUAUCCGGAUUUAUUGGGUUUAAAGGGUGCGUAGGCGGCUUUUUAAGUCAGGGGUGAAAGACGGUAGCUUAACUAUCGCAGUGCCCUUGAUACUGAAGAGCUUGAAUAUAGUUGAGGUAGGCGGAAUGUGACAAGUAGCGGUGAAAUGCAUAGAUAUGUCACAGAACACCAAUUGCGAAGGCAGCUUACUAAGCUAUGAUUGACGCUGAGGCACGAAAGCGUGGGGAUCAAACAGGAUUAGAUACCCGCGUAGUCCCUGUCUCUUAUAC
rnacentral:rRNA from 1 species